UUUUUUUUUAUUUUUAUUUUUAUUUUCAGCAGCACUUAUUCUUAUCCUUGCCUGAAAAAGUCACUAACCUUUUUACGCGAUUGUGUACAUGGGUGAUACACCCCUGGUUACUCAGUUAGUCACUUGUUCAAGUGGCUACUAGCUCUAUUCAUAGUCUAGACCAUCGGAACAGGUUUAUGAUUUGUGCUUUGUGCUGGUUUUUCAUGAUAGUUUGGGCAAAUAAGCUCAUAGGGAGUUACACUAACUUUGUGUUUGCAUGUAUUUAUAUUUUUAUUUCCCUUGACCUUAGCAAAUUUAAGGAUUCAAUUUAAGAGAAAAACUCCCUAAGUGAAGGUAACAUACUGUGAAUGAUUCAAUUUAGGCUUAAAGGGGUGGCAAACCAAUGGGGUCAUGAGAUAAGAAAACUCUUUUAACCUUGUUAUCGAUGUUGAGUAGAGCAAAAGCUAAGACAAAAUUCUGUGUGUUUGUGUUAUGGGGCAAAAGAUGCAAAGAGAAACAAAAAGAAACAAAUAGAAAGCAAAAGAUGAUGGAAUCAAUGCGAAUCAAUGCAAAAAUAUCCUAACAGUACCCCCACACCUAUGACAAACAUUGCCCU
rnacentral:lncRNA from 1 species